rnacentral:rRNA from 1 species
GCUUAACUUCCAAGUGCGCUUGAAACUGAUCGGCUUCGAGUUUAAGAGAGGAUAGCGGAACUCACAGUGUAGCGGUGAAAUGCGUAGAUAUUGUGAGGAACACCAGUGGCGAAGGCGGCUAUCUGGAUUAAUACUGACGCUGAGACGCGAAAGCAUGGGGAGCAAACAGGAUUAGAUACCCUGGUAGUCCAUGCUGUAAACGAUGUUCAUUAGGUGUAGGAGGUAUCGACCCCUUCUGUGCCGAAGCUAACGCGUUAAAUGAACCGCCUGGGAAUUACGGCCGCAAGGCUAAAACUCAAAGAAAUUGACGGGGGCCCGCACAAGCAGUGGAUCAUGUGGUUUAAUUCGACGAUACGCGAAAAACCUUACCAGUACUUGACAUCCGCCUGAUCCCCAUAGAAGUAUGGGGUGGCCCGCAAGGGAAGGCGAGACAGGUGGUGCAUGGCUGUCGUCAGCUCGUGUUGUGAAAUGUUGGGUUAAGUCCCGCAACGAGCGCAACCCCUAUCUUGUGUUAUCAGCAUUAACGGUGGAUACUCACGAGAAACUGCCUGUGGAAAACAGGAGGAAGGCGGGGAUGACGUCAAGUCCUCAUGCCCUUUAUGUUCUGGGCUACACACAUGAUACAAUGGUUAGGACAAAGGGUUGCCAAACCGCGAGGUGGAGCCAAUCCCAGAAAACUAACCUCAAUUCGGAUUGCAGGCUGCAACUCGCCUGCAUGAAGCCGGAAUUGCUAGUAAACGCGGAUCAGCACGCCGCGUUGAAUACGUUCCCGGGCCUUGUACACACCGCCCGUCACACCAUGAGAGCUGGAAAUACCCAAA